AAGGUUUGAGAUGAUGCAUACCAGAGGGAGAGUGGAGGAGGUGGCUUCAGAUUUUCGAGUGAAAUAAGAGGAUGAGGGAAAGCUUGACACUCCAAUAGCUCUUAUUGCCAUUUUCUCUGGGGGGAGAGGACUUGAGAAAGAGAUUGUGAGGCUUCCAAGAUAUCAAUCCCACUCCCAAUUUUUGUUUUAAUCAUGAAACACUUCUCGUUUAUGCAUUGGGUUUUCCAUUUUUCUUUCUUUCUUUCUUUUUUUCUACAAAGAAAUGAAUAUCAGAGGAAGAGAGUUAGAGGAGUUGUUUGAUUAAAAAGAGGAGAGGAGAUUGGAGGGAGAGGGAGAGGCAGAGGAGUGGUAAAAGGGACCUCUGCUUUCUCAUCCACACACACCUUGGAACAAUACAUGCCACUGGUUUUUCUUUCUCCUCUCUCUGUCUCUCUCCAAUCUCCAUACCUACAUAUAUAAAUGUAAUUGAUAAGACCUCCAAGAAAGCACAAGUAUAUAUAUACUUCAUUUGUGGAUUUUUAAAGAAUUGUGUUUGAUUUCUAAAAAAUAUUAAAGAAAAAAAAUGUUAUAUAAAUAUUUUAUGUUGGGAUACCAUGAAAGAAAAAGUUAAGAAAAUAACUAAGAGAUAGAUGAAAUAAAAUGUUAAUUUUUAUUUUUUUUAAAGUCCAAGGAAAAUGUAUGGGUUUGGAUAUCAUUUUUUUUUCUAAUUUUUAAAUAUAAAAAAAAUUAUCUUGUACUUUUGAAUUUUUUUUUCAAAAUUUUAAAAAUUUGAGAAUUAAAUUUUAAAAAAUUUAAAAAGCAUACGUAUCACUUUUUUUUUUCUA
rnacentral:lncRNA from 1 species